GGAGGGUGCAAGCGUUAAUCGGAANNACUGGGCGUAAAGCGCACGCAGGCGGUUGUUAAGUCAGANGNGAAAUCCCCGGGCUCAACCUGGGAACUGCAUCUGAUACUGGCAGCUUUGAGUCUCGUAGAGGGGGGUAGAAUUCCAGGUGUAGCGGUGAAAUGCGUAGAGAUCUGGAGGAAUACCGGUGGCGAAGGCGGCCCCCUGGACGAAGACUGACGCUCAGGUGCGAAAGCGUGGGGAGCAAACAGGAUUAGAUACCCUGGUAGUCCACGCCGUAAACGAUGUCGACUUGGAGGUUGUGCCCUUUGAGGCGUGGCUUCCGGAGCUAACGCGUUAAGUCGACCGCCUGGGGAGU
rnacentral:rRNA from 1 species